rnacentral:rRNA from 1 species
UACGUAGGGUGCAAGCGUUAAUCGGAAUUACUGGGCGUAAAGCGUGCGCAGGCGGCUUUGCAAGACAGAUGUGAAAUCCCCGGGCUCAACCCGGGAACUGCGUCCGAUACUGGAAGGCUUGAAUCCGGGAGAGGGAUGCGGGAAUUCCAGGUGUAGCGGUGAAAUGCGUAGAUAUCUGGAGGAACACCGGUGGCGAAGGCGGCAUCCUGGACCGGUAGUUGACGCUGAGGCGCGAAAGCCAGGGGAAGCCAAAGCGGGG